GAUGAACGCUGGCGGCGUGCCUAAUACAUGCAAGUCGAGCGAACGGACGAGAAGCUUGCUUCUCUGAUGUUAGCGGCGGACGGGUGAGUAACACGUGGAUAACCUACCUAUAAGACUGGGAUAACUUCGGGAAACCGGAGCUAAUACCGGAUAAUAUUUUGAACCGCAUGGUUCAAAAGUGAAAGACGGUCUUGCUGUCACUUAUAGAUGGAUCCGCGCUGCAUUAGCUAGUUGGUAAGGUAACGGCUUACCAAGGCAACGAUGCAUAGCCGACCUGAGAGGAGGGGCGGAGGCAGGGGAACGGCGACAGGGAGGGGGCGACGACGGGAGGGCGAAGUGGGGAAGAGUACGAAAGGGGUGAAAAUAUAACGUAGUUGUGGGGAGGGAGGUAUGAAGGUUUUGGGAUCGGUAAACAUGGUGAUGAGAGAAAAACAGAAGGCUACGUAAAUGUGCACAACGGGAGCGGAGGUAAUAAGGAAGGAAGGGCUAGCUAAGUG
rnacentral:rRNA from 1 species